ACACACUAGAGGCAACCAUACACAACAGAAAUUCACUCAUGCUCAAAACCACAUUUUGGCCAUUUUCCAAAAGCAGUCAAAAAACUUCCAAAAGGAACAAAACCUGGCCUUGAUCAAUACAAUAUUUUCCAUCAUUUUCUGUCUUGGUAAACCUUAUUAGCAGCUGAAAAACACAGAACUUCACUCUCUCAAAAAACAUUAUCUUGCCUGCAUUUUUCCAAGCUCUUCCAAAAAACCUCAAAGGCCAC
rnacentral:lncRNA from 1 species